UGAAGACUUUGCCGGAUUAGCUGAGAGGUGGUGCAUGGCCGUCGUCAGUUCGUACUGUGAAGCAUCCUGUUAAGUCAGGCAACGAGCGAGACCCACGCCCACAGUUGCCAGCGUACUCUCUGGAGUGACGGGUACACUGUGGGACCGCCGCUGCUAAAGCGGAGAAGGAAUGGGCAACGGUAGGUCAGUAUGCCCCGAAUCUCCCGGGCUACACGCGGGCUACAAUGACUGGGACAAUGGGCUCCUACCCCGAAAGGGGAUGGUAAUCUCAUAAACCCAGCCUUAGUUCGGAUCGAGGGCUGUAACCCGCCCUCGUGAAGCUGGAAUCCGUAGUAAUCGCGUUUCAACAUAGCGCGGUGAAUACGUCCCUGCUCCUU
rnacentral:rRNA from 1 species